CCCUUCAUUUGCCUGCUGGACCCUCGUCCUCAAGGGUAGGGGAAGUGCGCGGUGAGCGGCCUGGGUCUUGCGGGCUCGGCUGGGGCCCGCAGACGGAGUCUCACUCUGUCACCCAAGCUGGAGUGCAGUGGCAUGAUCUCAGCUCACUGCAGCCUCUGCUUCCCGGGUUCAAGUGAUUCUCUUGCCUCAGCCUCCUGAGUAGCUGGGAUUACAGGCACGUGCCACCACGCCUGGCUAAUUUUUGUGUUUUUAGUAGAGAUGGGGUUUCACCAUGUUGGUCAGGCUGGUCUUGAACUCUUGACCUCGUGAUCGCCUGCCUUGGCCUCCCAAAGUGGGGGGAUUACAGGCAUGAGCCACUACGCCUGGCCAUCUUAAUAAUUUUUUUUUUUGAGAUGAGUUUUGCUCUUGUUGCCCAGGCUGAAGUGCAGUGGUGCAAUCUUGGCUCACUGCAACCUCUGCCUCCCAGGUUCAAGUGAUCUCCUGCCUCA
rnacentral:sRNA from 1 species